UGGGGAAUAUUGGGCAAUGGAGGAAACUCUGACCCAGCAAUGCCGCGUGAAUGAAGAAGGUCUUCGGAUUGUAAAGUUCUUUAGUCAGGGAAGAAGAAAAUGACGGUACCUGAAGAAUAAGCUCCGGCUAACUACGUGCCAGCAGCCGCGGUAAUACGUAGGGAGCAAGCGUUGUUCGGAAUGACUGGGCGUAAAGGGUGCGUAGGCGGUUAUACAAGUUAGAAGUGAAAUACCCAGGGCUUAACUCGGGUGCUGCUUCUAAAACUGUAAGACUUGAGUGCAGUAGAGGUUAGUGGAAUUCCUAGUGUAGCGGUGGAAUGCGUAGAUAUUAGGAGGAACACCAGAGGCGAAGGCGGCUAACUGGACUGCAACUGACGCUGAGGCACGAAAGUGUGGGGAGCAAACAGG
rnacentral:rRNA from 1 species